rnacentral:lncRNA from 1 species
AGGUAAAUUUGUACAAUGGCUAUGGACCACAGGAUCUGGAUGAUAUGAAAAAUAAACACGGAAUGACCAUAUGACCCAGCAAUCCCACUCUUGGACAUAUAUCCAGAAAAUGUUCUUUGCAAAAAGUUAAAUGCCCCACUAUGUUCUUGCAGCACUAAUCACAAUAGCAACAUAUGCAAACAUAUUCUAUGGCCAUGGACAGAUGAUUGGAUUAGGAAGAGGAUGUCCAUAUGCACAAUAGAAUAGUACUCAGCCAUAAAUAACCAAAAAAAAAAAAAAAAGCCAUUGGCAGCAAAAUAGGUGGUAAGAAAACAUCUCAUACUAAAUGAAAUACAUCUGAAAGAGAAAGAAAAAUACCAUGGGAAUCACCUUCCCUCUGGAAACUUACACAUGACACCAAUGAUCCUUGCUACAGGAAAGAAACUCACAGACUGGAAAACAGUUUUUUGGUUGCAGGAUUGGAGGGGGAAAUGACUAGGAUUUGGAGGAUAAAAUCCAAGCUUUUGCACUUGGAAUGAUUAAGCAUAGAUAUCCUGCUGUUUAGCACAGAGAACUAUAAUUACCAUUUUUGGAACCAAAUGGAGGAUACUGUGAGAAAAGGAAUAUGGGUAUACAUGUAUGAUUGGAUGACUUUGUUAUUCAAGUAAAAUGGGAUGCCAUAAAAUAGUGAUAAUAGAAAAUAAUAAAUGAUAACCUGACAAAAUUACAGGCUCAGCGUUCACCAGAGAAGGUAUGAGGGUCGAGACUGCUGCCUCUAGGGAAAAUAGAUAGGCACACUGAUUCAGCUCAACCUGUCAAUAUUUCCUAGCAUGGUGACAUUGGCCCAGACCUAAUUACCCAGGGUGUAUGAAUGUAUUUCUGUAAAAACAUUGUUAUAUAUAUAUAUUCUGAAUUCCCUAUUUUCCUGCACCCUUGUGGGCAUGCAGAUACACCCUCCUCUAGAAAUGAAUCCACUCCUAUACUGUACAUCCUCAGGCUACCAUUUAAAAACUCUUCUACCAGAGAUAUUUGUUCAGGAGAGACUUUAGGAUUGCUUUAUCUAUCCAUUCCCUUAGAUAUUUUGUAGGACUAUGUGUGUGAAUAUAUAUGUAUGUGUAUGUAUUCAUUGAUUACUUUAUUAAACUCAUUCUUUUCAAUAUGUUUUUAUUUAUCAAUUUAUUUGGGUGCCCCCUGUGACAUUGAGAUGUUGUCUGGCCAGAGCUUGAUCUCCCAAUGCAAUUGUUGCCACAGCCACAGCAGUGACAAGGAGAGACUCUUAAGCCUGGCAGCCACUUGGGAACUCCUUGAGAGCUUGCCUUCCUUGAUGAGACCAAUCGACCCUGCUUAAUGCAUCAAACUUGGUUUCAGUCAGGCCUCCAGACCCUGGCACCUACUGAAAAUUGGGGCUCAUCUCCCAAGGCAAGAAAGAUUUUUCUCCAAGCCUCUUGAGCAAAAGAAGCAUGUGGAUUGGCACAACUGCCCAAACUAAUGCCAUCUAAGUCCCCCAUUUAAUCAUAAGCACCACCCUCUUUCUCCAUCUAUGUAAAACCCUGAGGGUCAGGGGCUUGAAAAUGGCCAGCUCAUGAUACCACACCAGUGCUGUAUGAGUCUUGGCCCCAGGCUCUGGAGGAACUCAAGGCAUGCUGAAACCCAGUGAAUGCUUGAAGUAUUCUAAACCCUCUGCCACCCAACCAGGUUGCCAAUCCACCUCCAAAUGCUGAAGGGACAUUUUGCCCUCUGCCUGACAUGAGGCAUCUUGGAGCAGAGGCUAACUGGUGCCCAGGAAACAACUGAAAAUUCUCUGUGUGCUUGCUGUGUGUUCCCUUAAAGAUACCAUCAGCCCCAACCCUGAACCUGCACAUUUCAAGCUAUGGAGCUCUCACCUAUUAGACUUGGAGCUGCACUUGGGGCCAGAAGAUACACUGGUGCCCUCCUGUGGACAUCUGAUCUAAUAGCCACACAACAGGUUUAACUCCUCCAUCUGGCUCAGCAGUCCCCUGGGUGGCAUUGGCCUUAGGCGAUAUGAGGGAUGGGUCUCCUUCCCCCACUUUCAUGAAAUACCAAGAAGUGCCCUUGCAAGUGAGCUGCUUCUCUCUCAAAGGCUUCCAGAGCCCUGAGGCCAACCUCUGCCAUGCUUCACUGUGUAUACCCUUAGCUCCUGACCCAUCUAGUCAUGCCAGCCUUCUUCCUGUUUUAUGCAUCCCAGCAACUAUGUAUUUAUGAAGAUAGGUGUGUAGAUAUGUAAUGAUUGAUUUUUUUCUUAAUUUUUCACGUGUGAUUCCUUCCUUCGUACAGUAAAGUCUGUCCUCGUUUCUUCUUUCUUUUUUUCUCUUUCUCUCUACUACUUUCUUUCUAAAUUUAUUGACCCCCACCUAGAGCAGGCAUAAGUUGUCUGCCCAUUGAUGUUUUUCAUGGCAGUGUUUAUCAAACCCACCAUGGCAACAAAAACUGAACUUUUACCCAGAGUGCCUGAAAGGAUCUCAGUGAGAGCUUUCAUUAUAUCAAUCAGUCCACUGGCCUUAAAUGCCCAACCUGGCUUUAGGUAACAUCUUCACACCAGGUGCAUAGAAAGAUGAGAAGAGGCUCUCACAGGAAAAAAAAGGAUGGACUUCCCUGAAACCUCUUGAGACACACUGCCCAGAGAUUGGCACAGCUGCUCUACAAUAUAUCACUGUUUUUGCACGUCAUGCAAAACUCACAGGCACUUUAUGCUGAUCCCAAAACCCAGGUCAGGCUGGGCUUCCAGAAUUCACAGCUGAACCACUGAUACCAAGCAACAGCAAAACAAAACCCAUAACCCAAUUGAAAAAUGGGGAGAAGACCUGAAUACACCUUUCCCUAAACCAGAUAUAGAGAUGGCAUCAAGCACCAGGAAAAUGAACUCCAUCACUCAUUAAUAAAGAUAUGCAAAUCAAAGCAAAGCUGAGGUUCCGCCUCAGCCCUCUCCAAAUGGCCAUUAUCAGCAUGUCUUCAAAUAACAAACCCUGGACAGGGUGUGGAAAAGAAGGUGCCCUCCUACACUGUGGGUGUGUAGGGAAAUUUGUACAACUACUCUAGACCACAGGAUCUAGGUUAUCUGAGAAAGAACAACUGUAUGACCCAGCCAUCCCACUCUUGGGCAUAUACCCAGAAAAUGUACUUUUCAAAAGGUUACAUGCCCUACUAUGUUCAUUCCACACUAGUCACAAUAGCAAGACAGGGAAACACAUCCUAGAUCCAUGGACAGAUGAUGGGAAUAGGAAGAAGAUGUCCAUAUACACAACAGAAGAGUACUCAGCCAUAAAAAGAGCAAAAAUGCCAUUGGCAGCCACAUGGAAAUAAAAACUUUCAUACUAAUCAAAAUAUGUCUGAAAGAGAGACACAAAUACCAUGUGUAACAACUUCCCUCUGGAUUCUUACAAAUGACACAAACCUUUCUACAGGAAAGAAACUCAUGGACUGGAAUACAGAUUUUUGGUUGCCAGAUUGGAGGGGGAGGGUGUGGGAAGGAGUGGAUUUUGGAGGGUAAUUGAUCCAAACACUUGCCCUUGGAGUGGCUGAGCAUAGACAUCCUGCUGUUUAGCCCAGGAACUAUAUCUGGUCACUAUUUUUGGAAUCAAAUGGAGGAUAAUGUGAGAAAAAGACUAUGGGUAUAUAUGUACCAAUGGAUCACUUUGUUGUUAAAGUGAAAUUUAGCCCUAUAAAUAUGCAAAAAUAAAAAAUGAGAAAUGAUAAAUAACCGGACAAAAUUAGUGGCUCAGUGUUCACCAGAGAAGGUGUCAGGGUCGAGACUGCUGACCCUUGGGAAAAGAGACGGGCACGCUGACUCCAUUUAACCUGUCAAAAUUUCCUAGCCUAGCGACAUCAGAGCAGACCUAAUUACCUAGCGAGUAUGAGUUUAUUACUAUAAAUUUUUUAAAUUUAUUUUUUUCCUAGGUAUUUUCCUGCACCCGUGUGUGGCAUGCAGAUACACUCUGCCCUGGAAAUGAAUCCACCCCUAUGCUGGACAUCCCAAGGCUCGCACUAAAAACCCAGUGGCACCCAAGUAUUGGGUAAGGAGACCCUUUAAGAUUGCUUUAUCUAGGAGUUCCCGUCAUGGUGCAGUGGUUAACAAAUCCAACUAGGAACCAUGAGAUUGUGGGUUUGAUCCCUGGCCUUGCUCAGUGGGUUAAGGACCCGGUGUUGCUGUGAGCUGUGGUGUAGGUCACAGACGCGGCUCAAAUCCCACAUUGCUGUGGCUCUGGCUUAGGCCGGCAUCUACAGCUCCAAUUAGACCCCUAGCCUGGGGACCUCCAUAUGCCACUGGAAGUGGCCCUAGAAAAGGAAAAAAGACAAAAAAAAAAAAA